rnacentral:rRNA from 1 species
UACGUAGGGUGCAAGCGUUGUCCGGAAUUAUUGGGUGUAAAGCGUGCGCAGGCGGUUUCUUAAGUCAGAUGUGAAAGCCCCGGGCUUAACCUGGGAACUGCGUUUGAAACUGGGAGACUGGAGUGUGGCAGAGGGUGGUGGAAUUCCCAGUGUAGCGGUGAAAUGCGUAGAUAUUGGGAGGAACACCGGUGGCGAAGGCGGGCCACCUGGGCCCGGGAAGCUGACGCUGAGGCGCGAAACGUGGGGAGCGAA